rnacentral:rRNA from 1 species
AUUGAACGCUGGCGGCAUGCCUUACACAUGCAAGUCGAACGGUAACGGGUCCUUCGGGAUGCCGACGAGUGGCGAACGGGUGAGUAAUAUAUCGGAACGUGCCCAGUAGCGGGGGAUAACUGCUCGAAAGAGCAGCUGAUACCGCAUACGACCUGAGGGUGAAAGGGGGGGAUCGCAAGACCUCUCGCUAUUGGAGCGGCCGAUAUCAGAUUAGCUAGUUGGUGGGGUAAAGGCCUACCAAGGCAACGAUCUGUAGUUGGUCUGAGAGGACGACCAGCCACACUGGGACUGAGAACCGGCCCAGACUCCUACGGGGGGCAGCAGUGGGUAAUUUUGGACAAUGGGCGCAAGCCUGAUCCAGCAAUGCCGCGUGAAGGAAGAAGGCCUUCGGGUUGUAAACUGCUUUUGUCAGGGAAGAAAUCUUCUGGGCUAAUACCCCGGGAGGAUGACGGUACCUGAAGAAUAAGCACCGGCUAACUACGUGCCAGCCGCCGCCGUAA